UACAGAGGUCUCAAGCGUUGUUCGGAUUCAUUGGGCGUAAAGGGUGCGUAGGCGGCGCGGUAAGUCGGGUGUGAAAUUUCGAGGCUUAACUUCGAAACUGCAUUCGAUACUGCCGUGCUUGAGGACUGGAGAGGAGAUUGGAAUUCACAGUGGAGCAGUGAAAUGCGUAGAUAUUGUGAGGAACACUAGUGGCGAAGGCGAAUCUCUGGACAGUUCCUGACGCUGAGGCACGAAGGCCAGGGGAGCAAACGGG
rnacentral:rRNA from 1 species